rnacentral:rRNA from 1 species
GCUCGUCUCAAAGAUUAAGCCAUGCAUGUGUAAGUAUAAAUAAUUUUACUUUGAAACUGCGAAUGGCUCAUUAUAUCAGUUAUAGUUUAUUAGAAAUAUUUUACUACUUGGAUAACCGUAGUAAUUCUAGGGCUAAUACAUGAGUAAAACCUCAACUUCGGAAGAGGUGUGUUUAUUAGUAUGAAAACCAUAUAUCUUCGGAUAUAAUAGUGAGUAAUAAUAACCUUUCGUAUCGUAUGUCGUAAGAUAACGAUAGUUCUUUCAAGUUUCUGCCCUAUCAGCUUUCGAUGGUAGUAUAUGGGACUACCAUGGCAGUAACGGGUAACGAAGAAUUUGGGUUCGAUUUCGGAGAGGGAGCCUGAGAGAUGGCUACCACAUCCAAGGAAGGCAGCAGGCGCGUAAAUUACCCAAUCCUGACAUAGGGAGGUAGUGACAAUAAAUCACAAUGCGGAACUUUUAGUUUUGCAAUUGGAUUGAGAACAAUGUACAAAUGUUAUCGAUAAACAAUUGGAGGGCAAG